rnacentral:rRNA from 1 species
UCCUCCCUCUUCCCUCGUGCUUAACACAUGCAAGUCGAACGGAAAGGCCCUGCUUUUGUGGGGUGCUCGAGUGGCGAACGGGUGAGUAACACGUGAGUAACCUGCCCUUGACUUUGGGAUAACUUCAGGAAACUGGGGCUAAUACCGGAUAGGAGCUCCUGCUGCAUGGUGGGGGUUGGAAAGUUUCGGCGGUUGGGGAUGGACUCGCGGCUUAUCAGCUUGUUGGUGGGGUAGUGGCUUACCAAGGCUUUGACGGGUAGCCGGCCUGAGAGGGUGACCGGCCACAUUGGGACUGAGAUACGGCCCAGACUCCUACGGGAGGCAGCAGUGGGGAAUAUUGCACAAUGGGCGGAAGCCUGAUGCAGCAACGCCGCGUGCGGGAUGACGGCCUUCGGGUUGUAAACCGCUUUCGCCUGUGACGAAGCGUGAGUGACGGUAAUGGGUAAAGAAGCACCGGCUAACUACGUG